AAAAAUUGCAUCCGUUUAGGAUUCAAAUAUUUAUUGCAAGUGUUUAUAUUAUUGUAUAUUUUAUAUAUUAAGUGUAUCUACCAAGUGUAUCUACGAGAAAAGCAAUUGAAGAUAAUAUAAUAUAACAUGACUAAUAGUGAUUAUAAUACAUAAUCAAAACAUAAAAUCACUAGCUAUUAAAUUAUUAUUUUUAAUGUGAUUUUAUGAUUACCAAUUAUUUACUAUUAUUAUAGUGAGUGAUUAUAAGUGAUUAUAAGUGAUAAAAGAUAGUGACGUAAUUACACAACGAGUUAUAAUUACUUUAUGAAGAUUUAUAGUAGAAUUAUGAAGAUUUAUAGUAGAAUAUUAAAUAUAUUGAGGAAAUUGAAUUUCACCGGCGGCAAUAGAGGAGAAACGUCUGAAGUAAUAAAAUGAAAAUAUGGAAAAAAGAAAAAAAAGAAAACGAGGAGAAAAAGGAGAAAAGGAAGGAAAAAUAGAUAUUUAACAACGAUUCGAAUAUGAACGUGGACAUAAUAUCAACGCUAAUCAACCCCGUUAUAAGAUUGUUCUGCGCAAUCUCAUUUUCUGUCAACAGAUCAAUCUUCGAAUCUACGAUUCAACGCCUCCUCGUGAAACCAUUGUACUGGCCGAGACUCGACACUAGCGCGCUCUAUGCCCGCAACUACCCUAGCGCUCCUUCUCCGUCGCGCUCGAAGAGCAAAGACCCUAACUCACUCUAAUUCCACGCCAAUCUUCGGAUCAACUCAAUAGUUCCUCGUAUUGCUAUUCUUCGACACCUAGUCCCCCCACUCCUUGCCCGAAUCAAGUUGAGAGGAGUGCUGGCGGUAUCACGCUCGAUCCACUGUCGGCCGUUUAAUUAACCAGACCCAUCGGAACUAAUCGUAUCAUUUAGGGCUAAUUCAAU
rnacentral:lncRNA from 1 species